AAUACGGGGGGGGCAAGCGUUGUUCGGAAUUACUGGGCGUAAAGGGCUCGUAGGCGGCCAACUAAGUCAGACGUGAAAUCCCUCGGCUUAACCGGGGAACUGCGUCUGAUACUGGAUGGCUUGAGUUUGGGAGAGGGAUGUGGAAUUCCAGGUGUAGCGGUGAAAUGCGUAGAUAUCUGGAGGAACACCGGUGGCGAAGGCGGCAUCCUGGACCAAUACUGACGCUGAGGAGCGAAAGCCAGGGGAGCAAACG
rnacentral:rRNA from 1 species